rnacentral:rRNA from 1 species
UACGGGGGGGGGCAAGCGUUGUUCGGAAUUACUGGGCGUAAAGGGCUCGUAGGCGGCCAACUAAGUCAGACGUGAAAUCCCUCGGCUUAACCGGGGGAACUGCAUCUGAUACUGGAUGGCUUGAGUUCGGGAGAGGGAUGCGGAAUUCCAGGUGUAGCGGUGAAAUGCGUAGAUAUCUGGAGGAACACCGGUGGCGAAGGCGGCAUCCUGGACCGACACUGACGCUGAGGAGCGAAAGCCAGGGGAGCAAAGCGGG